AAUUUCCACAAGGUGCUUUCCCUCCUUCUUCUUCGUCACUCAGAACCUAUGCACCUAUUAGAUUUGAAGCUGUGUACCAUAGUCAGCUGCUUCCCUGAGGUUUCUGUGAUAGAAAAUUUUCUUCUUUAUGCAGAUUUAGUCUUGAC